UCACUUGACAAAUAAAAUAGAAAAUAUGUUAUUGAUUCAUUAGCCUUUUGAAAGAAAGCGGAAUUGAUGUUGAGGAAACCUAAUCUAUUGUCUGCACAUUUUGUAUUACAAACCUAGAAAGAAAGAAAAUAAUAUUCAAUACUACGAAGAAAACUAAAAAUUUGUUUGUACCUUGAGAUUGAUUCCUGUUUUAGAACAUUAUGCAGAGCAGAAAGAGGAAUAGCAGCUAGUGACAAUUGCGUCUUCUCUGAAGGUCCUCAGGAGUUCUAAAAUACACAUGCAAGAUGAAAUAUUUCAAUUAAGUAGAUCCAAAAUCGCAUAAAUUAACCUACAAAAAUACUGAAAAAGCUAAAUUUUACAACCUAAAAUACCUAAUGUAGAAGGAGAAAGAGGACUUACAUCUCGAAUUCAAUAGAGUGUUAUAUCCUUCUUUAAAAUACACCGAUUCAACCAAAAUUUCUGUUACUUUCAGUAGAGAAUCAAAAAACAGAAAAGCCACAAAAUAGAGGAAAAAUCAGUAAAGGAAAAACACAAAUUAACAGAGGAAAUAAACCUAAAACCCACAUGCAAGAAGAAAGAAACACAGAAAAGGAAAGUCAAAUAAUGGGGAAGAGAAAUUACCAUAGACAUGAACCCACAAUCCACAUCGCUCAAAAUCAAAGAAUGGGGAAGAAAGCAAAAAAAUUGCAUCUCUUUCAUCACGAAGAAAGGAAUUACCAUACAAAAAAUAUUUUGUGAAUCUCUUUCAGUUUUUUUAUUCUUCAAGUGAGGGUUUUUAAUUUUUCAAGUGGAAGAAAAUGGAAGCUGAAAAGCUUCUCUUUCGUGAAAGUGAGGGAGGGGUUUGGGAAAAAGAAAUAGGGAAAUGAUCAAGAAAGAGGAAACUAUUGACCGCCGCAAAUAUAAUAUUUUUAUGGGGUUGUAUAAAACCCCCAAUUUGAUAUAAAUUGCAGAGGUUACAAUAACCGCCACAAUUAAACCUCCGCAAACUCACCAUUUUUUUGUAGUGAGUAGUGACGAGGUUCAAGUCAAGACACUCACUAGACCAAUAACUUAUGCAUAAUAUCAAUAUAAACAAUCAACGGAAAGCAUAACCAGAUAGAUAGCAAAAAGGAAUAGGCAUGUGAUAACAUAGCAAAUUAACCAAAACUCCUA
rnacentral:lncRNA from 1 species